UCUACGGCUUGGAGAAAAACC
ensembl:piRNA 21ur-3601 ncRNA